rnacentral:rRNA from 1 species
CCUACGGGAGGCAGCAGUGAGGAAUAUUGGUCAAUGGACGAGAGUCUGAACCAGCCAAGUAGCGUGAAGGAUGACUGCCCUAGGGGUGGUAAACUUCUUUUAUAUGGGAAUAAAAUGUUCCACGUGUGGGAUUUUGUAUGUACCAUAUGAACAAGGACAGGCUAACUUCGUGCCAGCAGCCGCGGGAAUACGGAGGAUCCGAGCGUUAUCCGGAUUAAUUGGGUUUAAAGGGAGCGUAGGUGGAUUGUUAAGUCCGUUGUGAAAGUUUGCGGCUCAACCGUAAAAUUGCAGUUGAAACUGGCAGUCUUGAGUACAGUAGAGGUGAGCGGAAUUCGUGGUGUAGCGGUGAAAUGCUUAGAUAUCACGAAGAACUCCGAUUGCGAAGGCAGUUCACUGGACUGCAACUGACACUGAGGCUCGAAAGUGUGGGUAUCAAACAGGAGUAGAUACCCUAGUAGUC